rnacentral:rRNA from 1 species
UCGGGAAUUUUGGGCAAUGGGGGAAACCCUGACCCAGCAACGCCGCGUGAAGGAUGAAGUAUUUCGGUAUGUAAACUUCGAAAGAAUAGGAAGAAUAAAUGACGGUACUAUUUAUAAGGUCCGGCUAACUACGUGCCAGCAGCCGCGGUAAUACGUAGGGACCAAGCGUUGUUCGGAUUUACUGGGCGUAAAGGGCGCGUAGGCGGCAUGACAAGUCACUUGUGAAAUCUCUGGGCUUAACCCAGAACGGCCAAGUGAUACUGUCGCGCUAGAGUGCAGAAGGGGCAAUCGGAAUUCUUGGUGUAGCGGUGAAAUGCGUAGAUAUCAAGAGGAACACCUGAGGUGAAGACGGGUUGCUGGGCUGACACUGACGCUGAGGCGCGAAAGCAAGGGGAGCAAACAGGAUUAGAUACCCACGUAGUCCCUGAGCGGGCUGGCAAGGCGCAU